GAGCCAUUAGCUCAGUUGGUAGAGCAUCUGACUUUUAAUCAGAGGGU
rnacentral:tRNA from 1 species